CAUCUGGCUCAGAACGAACGCGGCGGCGUGCCUAACACAUGCAAGUCGAGCGCGAACGGAGCAAUCCUAGUAGAGCGGCGCACGGGUGCGUAACACGUGGGUAAUCUGCCUCAAAGACCGGGACAACCUGCCGAAAGGCUGGCUAAUACCGGAUAAGCCUACGGGAUCCUCGGAUCCUGAAGGAAAAGGUGGCCUCUGUAUACAAGCUAUCACUUUGAGAUGAGCCCGCGGCCCAUCAGCUAGUUGGCGGGGUAAUGGCCCACCAAGGCAACGACGGGUAGCUGGUCUGAGAGGACGAUCAGCCACACUGGAACUGAGACACGGUCCAGACUCCUACGGGAGGCAGCAGUGGGGAAUUUUGCACAAUGGGCGAAAGCCUGAUGCAGCAACGCCGCGUGUGUGAUGAAGGUCUUCGGAUCGUAAAGCACUUUCGACCGGGACGAACACCCCUUGGCUAACAUCCCAGGGGCCCUACGGGUACCGGGAGAAAAAGCACCGGCCUAAAUUUCUGUC
rnacentral:rRNA from 1 species